rnacentral:lncRNA from 1 species
GCUCCCGAAGGGAGCUAGAGAGGUAACUCUUUUCGCGCGUUUUUAUUUCCCAUAGGUUUUGUACACAGCCAAUAUGGCUGCCGGCGGACAAUUUGAAGGGUGAUUUUGGAGGGUCAAUGUUUUAUUCAUAAGAAUGACGUCAAAUUACGCAAAAUGCACUUCUCUGAUUGGCUAAGACGCUAAUGUUUUAUUCAUAUAUUAUGAAUUAAACACGUUUUUUCGAUCCCACAAUUCCCUACGAGAUCUGUGCGAAGUGUUGUUCUUUCGGACUCUGCGAAUUUCCAGUUUCUACAACGAAAUAGCUCGACUAAUCAUCUGUUUAUAGAAUUCAUGUUCGAAAUCGUGACUUUUGAGUGAACUUCAUUGGAGCAGAAAAUCUUGGAGGGAACAUCAAUAAUAAUCUACUGACAUUCCAUGAGAAUAAAAAUCCAAUAGGACCAAGAUUUUAGCAGUUCACACCCGGUCAGAGGGACAAAAUUGAGAACCAUGCAGAUCGGCAAGUGUGGGUUACACUCUAAUGAGGAACAGGAUAUCUGAAUUGGAAAAUUGCAAGGUUUCCCACUGCCCAAGCUGUUUUAGUACUGGUAUCACAACAAGUACCAAGAUGGAAGAUAUAUGAAGGCCAAGCUAAUAAGUAGUUACUUCAAAUUAAUAUGAAUAGAUAUAUCAACAAAGCAUUGAAUGUUCUUUAAACUGCACAUCUGUAGAAAAGAGUUAGGUUCAUCAGCGGGCAAUGACAUUAAAGUAUACAAAAUUUCACACAAAAUACAAGAAAGAAAUAUUUUUUUUCCAAUGGGCAAAUGUAUCACCUUUUAUUAAUAUU